CGGGGUUAUGACUUGGGGUGAACAACGAGUGGGAACGGAAAUGGACAAUUACUUAACAUUAAAGUAUAUGGAAAUGUCACUCAAAGAUAAAAUGCUAGGAUCAUAUAUGAUCAUUUGGAUACUUAUGAAACAUACACAUAAAGGAGAACUGAUUAAAGUGGUUUAUCCAAUAUCACGUGUCACAACUUCAUAACAUAGAGUUAUCCUAAUCAAAGUGUUUUGCAGCGGAAAACGUGUGAGAUAUACAUAUGAAGAUGUAUACUCAAGGUUACAUUUCUUGAAAUGAUCAAAGGAACACCCGCUCAACACCAUU
rnacentral:lncRNA from 1 species